rnacentral:rRNA from 1 species
AGAGCGAACGCUGGCGGCAGGCCUAACACAUGCAAGUCGAACGGACUCUUCGGAGUUAGUGGCGGACGGGUGAGUAACACGUGGGAACGUGCCUUUAGGUUCGGAAUAGCUCCUGGAAACGGGUGGUAAUACCGAAUGUGCCCUUCGGGGGAAAGAUUUAUCGCCUUUAGAGCGGCCCGCGUCUGAUUAGCUUGUUGGUGAGGUAAUGGCUCACCAAGGCUACGAUCAGUAGCUGGUCUGAGAGGAUGACCAGCCACAUUGGGACUGAGACACGGCCCAAACUCCUACGGGAGGCAGCAGUGGGGAAUCUUGCGCAAUGGGCGAAAGCCUGACGCAGCCAUGCCGCGUGUAUGAUGAAGGUCUUAGGAUUGUAAAAUACUUUCACCGGUGAAGACAAUGACUGUAGCCGGAGAAGAAGCCCCGGCUAACUUCGUGCCAGCAGCCG